GCGGAAGAUCAUUAACGAGUAACUGAACAGGUUGUAGCUGGUCUCUCGGGGCAUGUGCACACCUGGCUCAUCCACUCUUCAACCACUGUGCACUUAUUGUAGGUCGGCAGAAGGGCGAGUCUAACAGCUCGCUCGGAAGCCUUCCUAUGUUUUAUUACAAACGCUUCAGUUUAAGAAUGUAAACCUGCGUAUAACGCAACUAUAUACAACUUUCAGCAACGGAUCUCUUGGCUCUCGCAUCGAUGAAGAACGCAGCGAAAUGCGAUAAGUAAUGUGAAUUGCAGAAUUCAGUGAAUCAUCGAAUCUUUGAACGCACCUUGCGCUCCCUGGUAUUCCGGGGAGCAUGCCUGUUUGAGUGUCAUGGUAUUCUCAUCCUUCAUAACUUUUGUUAUCGAAGGCAUGGACUUGGAGGUCGUGCUGGUUCCUUGUUGAAUCGGCUCCUCUUAAAUACAUUAGCGUGAGUGUAACGGAUCGCUUCGGUGUGAUAAUUAUCUGCGCCGUAGUCGUGAAGUAACAUAAGCUUGCGCUUCUAACCGUCCUUAAGUUGGACAACUUACUUUGACAUCUGACCUCAAAUCAGGUAGGACUACCCGCUGGAACUUAAGCAUAUCCGUCAUCCGUAUCGGAUUGCGUACUAUACACUCGAAAAGAGCGUCCUACAGAGUGAGAAUCACCGCUUCUACGCGGACUAUCACAGCUUUGAGGAGCGCUCUCAGAGACUCUAGUAGUUAGGAAAUGCAUCUCAAAUGCGGUCGAAAAUACCUCUAAAGUUCUUCAGGAGCGACACACCGACGCGCAGAGUACUCGAUAUACAA
rnacentral:rRNA from 1 species